AUUGAACGCUGGCGGCAGGCUUAACACAUGCAAGUCGAGCGGGGGAAGGUAGCUUGCUACCGGACCUAGCGGCGGACGGGUGAGUAAUGCUUAGGAAUCUGCCUAUUAGUGGGGGACAACAUCUCGCAAGGGAUGCUAAUACCGCAUACGUCCUACGGGAGAAAGCAGGGGAUCUUCGGACCUUGAACUAAUAGAUGAGCCUAAGUCGGAUUAGCUAGUUGGUGGGGUAAAGGCCUACCAAGGCGACGAUCUGUAGCGGGUCUGAGAGGAUGAUCCGCCACACUGGGACUGAGACACGGGCCAGAGUCCUACGGGAGGCAGCAGUGGGGAAUAUUGGACAAUGGGGGGAACCCUGAUCCAGCCAUGCCGCGUGUGUGAAGAAGGCCUUAUGGUUGUAAAGCACUUUAAGCGAGGAGGAGGCUACUCUAGUUAAUACCUAGGGAUAGUGGACGUUACUCGCAGAAUAAGCACCGGCUAACUCUGUGCCAGCAGCCGCAGUAA
rnacentral:rRNA from 1 species